GCACUUCGGAGGGUUGUGCGCGGUGGCCAAGGAGAGCAUCAUGUUCAUGCCGGGGUUCGGGGCCAUGACGGCGUUGUGUGGAGGCAUC
rnacentral:ribozyme from 1 species